AGUGAACGCUGGCGGUAGGCCUAACACAUGCAAGUCGAACGGCAGCACAGUAAGAGCUUGCUCUUACGGGUGGCGAGUGGCGGACGGGUGAGGAAUACAUCGGAAUCUACUUUUUCGUGGGGGAUAACGUAGGGAAACUUACGCUAAUACCGCAUACGACCUACGGGUGAAAGCAGGGGAUCUUCGGACCUUGCGCGAUUGAAUGAGCCGAUGUCGGAUUAGCUAGUUGGCGGGGUAAAGGCCCACCAAGGCGACGAUCCGUAGCUGGUCUGAGAGGAGGGUAGGCCACACUGGAACUGAGACACGGUCCAGACGCCUACGGGAGGGAGCAGUGGGGAAUAUUGGACAAUGGGCGCAAGCAUGACCCAGCCAUACCGAGUGGGUGAAGAAGGCCUUCGGGUUGUAAAGCCCUUUUGUGGGGAAAGAAAAGCAGCAGGUUAAUACCCCGCUGUUCUGACGGUACCCAAAAAAUAAGCACCGGCUAACUUCGUG
rnacentral:rRNA from 1 species